AUUGAACGCUGGCGGCAUGCCUUACACAUGCAAGUCGAACGGUAACAGGGUGCUUGCACCGCUGACGAGUGGCGAACGGGUGAGUAAUGCGUCGGAACGUGCCGAGUAGUGGGGGAUAACGCAGCGAAAGUUGUGCUAAUACCGCAUACGUACUCAGGUAGAAAGUGGGGGACCUUCGGGCCUCACGCUAUUCGAGCGGCCGACGUCUGAUUAGCUAGUAGGUGAGGUAAGAGCUCACCUAGGCGACGAUCAGUAGCGGGUCUGAGAGGAUGAUCCGCCAAACUGGGAAUGAGACACGGCCCAGACUCCUACGGGAGGCAGCAGUGGGGAAUUUUGGACAAUGGGCGCAAGCCUGAUCCAGCCAUGCCGCGUGUCUGAAGAAGGCCUUCGGGUUGUAAAGGACUUUUGUCAGGGAGGAAAUCCUAGUGGCUAAUAACUGCUGGGGAUGACAGUACCUGAAGAAUAAGCACCGGCUAACUACGUGCCAGCAGCCGCAGUAAAAC
rnacentral:rRNA from 1 species